ACUGGAAAAACUAAUAGCAGCUAACAGGGCUUUAAGUCUCAGAACAGCAACUCAAGCUAGCAGACAAAUUGCACAGCAAGGAAUGACCCACAGCUGCUUUGAAGAAGGUAGACAUAAGAGAGCUCUGAAAGGGGGAAGAGCAAGAGAGCAGUGACAUGUUUAGUUUUUAAAUAAUAUUUCAAAAACUAUUGAAGAUAAUUACAUGAGUAAAAAAUAAACAAAACUACAUAAUAAAAUCUAUAACUCUGUUCAAAUUUCACAAAAUAUGUUGUUUAGAAUAAAAGAUAAAGUAUUCUGAAAUAUCACAAUACAUAUACUCACUUUUAAUUGGCAUAUCUAAAAAUCAAGAUCAAUGACCCAUACAUAUUAUCAAAUUUAUAGAAACUACAUAAAAUACUGUUAAUGUGGUAUGUAAUUAUUAAAAAAAUUACUUGAUAAUUUAGGAGAAAUUAAAGUAUAAACAUUUAAAGAACAAAAUAUCAUAGUUGUUAUAUAACUAGAAACAUACCCUGUGGACUUCGACUUGUACUGACUUCUCGUGAGUGUGGCUUUCUCCCUCCCUUAUUUUCCGUUUGCCUUUUGGAGCCCAGUUUGGGUAAAUUCUUUUUGGCCAGAGACACUGUAGCUAAGUGUCUCUGAGCUUUUAUUUGCUUUUUGCAGUAAACCUUUUGUUGGGCUAAAUAGUGUGUGUGGCUCUUCAAGGCCUCUGUGUCUCAACACUUACUUUCAGGGGAGGCCUUACAUUUAGCAAUUCAGCAAAACCUCUACUAGGUCUUAUUUUCCGGGGAUGUCUUAUUUUCGGGGAAACAGGGUAAUAAAUUGUAUUUAAACCUAAGUUUUUCUUAUGGAGUUUUUUCAUAUUAAAAUCCCCCAAAUGGAUGAGACUUGGCAUAAGGCAAAAGCACAGCCCUGAAAGACACUGCCAGGUUAUUCACUGUAAUGAAUGUAAGUAAUAUAAUGAAGAUUUACAUUUAAUUUGAUUGUGUGUCUCUUACUCUAUGGCUUAGAGAGUGUGACUGCUUAACUUCUGU
rnacentral:lncRNA from 1 species